rnacentral:lncRNA from 1 species
UCUCAUAAUAUCUUUACUAUUCUUUAAGAGUCUAUCUAACUUAGGCAUUGGAGGAUUCGCUAUUGGAUACUCUUCAACAAAAAGACUUCUCUAUCUUUAUUGUUUUAGGUUACACUCAGCAUCAGAGUGAAGAUCCAAGCACGAUCUUUAUCGUCCAGUAUUAUCUCAGAUGUAAUUGGGAUCAAAGCCAUCACCACUCGUGCACAAUGGCC